CAGCAGCCGCGGUAACACGUAGGGUGCGAGCGUUAAUCGGAAUUACUGGGCGUAAAGCGUGCGCAGGCGGUUUUGUAAGACAGGCGUGAAAUCCCCGGGCUCAACCUGGGAAUGGCGCUUGUGACUGCAAAGCUAGAGUGCGGCAGAGGGGGAUGGAAUUCCGCGUGUAGCAGUGAAAUGCGUAGAUAUGCGGAGGAACACCGAUGGCGAAGGCAAUCCCCUGGGCCUGCACUGACGCUCAUGCACGAAAGCGUGGGGAGCAAACAGGAUUAGAUACCCCCGUAGUCCCUGUCUCUUAUAC
rnacentral:rRNA from 1 species